GACGAACGCUGGCGGCGUGCCUAACACAUGCAAGUAGGAAGCAGUUGCGAACGGGGGAGUAACGCGUAGGUAACUAACUAUAAGAGGGGGAUAACUAUUGGAAACGAUAGCGAAUACCGCAUACUAGUAGAUGGACCUGCGUGUUAUUAGCUAGGAGGUAGGGUAAUGGACUACCUAGGCAACGAUACAUAGACGACUGUGGGGGGUGAUCGGCCGAAACGUGACUGAGACCCGGGCCAGGCGCCCACGGGAGGGAGCAGUAGGGAACCUUCGUGCAUGGGGGGAAACCUUGCCGAGCAACGCCGCGUGAGUGAAGAAGGUUUUCGGAUCGUAAAGCUCUGUUGAUAAGGAAGCGGUACUUACCCAGAAAGGGACGGCUAACUACGUGCCAGCCGCCGCGGUAAUUC
rnacentral:rRNA from 1 species